UCAGCGCUGCCAGCAAGGCUCUGAAGCAAGAAUUAAGAUCCUCACAGAGCAGAGGAGUGAACAGAGCGUUGGAAAGGCUGGGGGCCUGUCCCAGAUCCCUUAGCUGGACCCGGGAGAGGCAUGCUGUUGCUGUGGCUGCGUUACAGAGGAGAACACAGGGCCACAGAGACCAAGCAGCUCAUCAAGGGUCACGCAACCAGCAACGCCAAGCGAGGCCUUGAACCGUGUCUGCGUGACGCCCAAGCCUAGUGUUCCUGCUCCAACCGGGACACUGCAGAGAUGUGGCUGUGCCCAGCUGUGCGUCAGUCGGGCCCCGGACACCGGGCAGGUGAACAGGGCUGGAUGCAUCCUGGCCCAAUCGUCACUCAUGCACAGAUUUUACUCAG
rnacentral:lncRNA from 1 species